rnacentral:rRNA from 1 species
ACAAAGGAAGGAAGGGUCGUUCCGAGGGUAGGGUAGGAAAGUUGAUCCGCGGCGGUGUUGGAAACCGGAACGGGAGGUCGUCUAGCAGCUGCGCGUGUCCGGAGGCAGAAGAAGGGAAGAAAUAAGGAAGCAGGCGCCUCACGUUCGUCAUUAGCCACUAGACCAGGACGUCUACCGAAGGUAGCUUUGGUACGAAGUCUUUAUCGUGGCCGUCGGUGCAAGUUCGCGCAUGAGUCGCUAGACAGUACUCUCUAUCAUCUACGUCAGUUCAACGCCGCUACAAUCCGACCUGAGUGUUCUAACGCGACAGUACUCUCUAUCAUCUACGUAAGUUCAACCGCCGCUACAAUCCGACCUGAGUGUUCUAACGGCUUCCCGUCACGAACGUGGUCGCCUACGUGUUUAACGAUAGGUAUGUUUCCUCGGGUAGUUAAAGAUCCCGGAGUUCCUCAUACCGUGGGUUGGUGACUUAAGUAACUGAUGUGCUUUGUUCUGUACCUGGUAGUUUCAAUUUCAGAGUUUCAGAAUGCUGAAAUCCUGUGUUAAUUGAAUAGUUGAUUACUUGAGUAAUCGUGACUAUUCUAAAACACUCUAUUUUUCAAGGUUCAUAAUGUAUAUAUUACAGAGAAAUCAAAAGGAAAAGGCUUCGAACGAUUACAAGAGAGACACAUCCCUUUACGUUAGGUACGAAGAUAACCCUUGUUUGACAGUUAUUUAAAUUUCGUUUUUUAUUUCUCCUGAGGUAGAUGUAUUAAUUCUGGAACUUUCAAACUCUCAUACUUUUGAUGGCUGGUAACUUCUUGUUAUAGUUUUAUUCAAAAGGAAAAACUAUGUUGUCCCUACCUUCACCUAUUUCUUUUUAGUUUCAAAAACCUGAUUGUGAAGCUCAAAACGAAUAUCACUAUGGAACCUCUCAUCCCACUUAUGACUAUUUGUGACGAGUCCAUACUGGUCUGAGGUUAUGGUUUCUUGUUCGUAACUAGUUAAUCUAAAUAUUUGUACUAAACUAAUCAUGUUACCUUGGUUAUCUCGCCCAUGUUGUUUCCCUGCUCGUAAGAAGCUUGAAGUUUGUAGCCACUCUAACCUAAACAAUUAGAUUUGAUACCUUUUCACCACACCGAUAGUCACAUACAUACACACUUAAUUCGUACCGUC